rnacentral:ncRNA from 12 species
CAACAAACUAGGUUAGCUACCGAAAAGCAGAACUGUGACUGCCUGUUUGUUGUUUUUGUUAUUCACA